CGGCACGGACGGUAAAACAGACAGGUUGUAUCGUUUGUUCGUGAGCUCACAAAGCAGCUAGCUGGCCUGCUGAACAAAGCAUGUCGCCCACUCUGAGCAGCUUCCGUCUUCUUCUGAUUCGACUUGUUUUGCUGGCUCUCCUGAUAGGCAGCGGCGUCCCCAUGCCCUCGGCUCAGCAAGGCAGCGCACGAGUCCAUAAUCCGCAUGGUCCACCGCAGACCCAUGGUACUGGUUUUAGCUACGACAUUAUUCGUGCUAAUGGUGCAAUAGGCUAACCCACGAAACUCACCUAUAAGCCAAAUAAGUAGCGAACCUAUUUAUUUUGAUCUAUAUGGAUUAGCGGCUUACUCACUUAUACCCUUGAUUCGUGCUGGAUAAAUAUGUAGAUCGUGUUGUUACCGCUCUAUAUUAUACUCCUACUCCCUCCGUUGAAAUUGUAAUGCCUGGUUUUUAUUGAUUAUUUCGGAAAAUCGCUCCUUGGCUAUAUAAUAGCAAUGCCUCCAACUCUGUUUUACCACAAAGUUAAGUGUAAUUACAAAUUUAGUAUAUAAUUGAGCAGUAUGUACAUUUAGUUUGCCACUUA